UUGCAGCCAAUUAAGCUGACAGUGCUCUUUUCCCCAUGGGGGCCCCGGUGUGCAAUGGCUGCAUACAGAAGCCUCCUUGGUGGUGCAUACAGCCUGUUGCAUGUAUGGGUUGCCCUAAGGGACCUUGGAGACAGCC
rnacentral:snoRNA from 1 species